GCCAGCGGCGAUAGCACGUUGAAUGAACCAGUUCUCUGACGGGGAUCACUGAAGUUAAGCAACAUUGAGCGUGGUUAGUAUUCGGAUGGUGACCGGGCAAUUCUGCUGCCUGGCU
rfam:Asian citrus Psyllid, Diaphorina citri - Florida Strain, whole genome shotgun sequence.